GACAUAGGUGGCAAACGUUAUCCGGAAUUAUUGGGCGUAAAGGAUGCGUAGAUGGUCUAGUAAGUUAGCGGUGGUAAAUCGGGGCCCAACCCCGUGGAAGUUGGUAAUACUGUUAGACUUGAGUAUCGGAGAGGUUAACGGAACUCCCUGUGGAGCGGUGAAAUGCGUAGAUAUAGGGAAGAACAUCAAACGGCGAAGGCAGUUAACUAUUCGGCUACUGACAUUGAGGCAUGAAAGCGUGGGGAGCAAAACGG
rnacentral:rRNA from 1 species